rnacentral:rRNA from 1 species
GAUGAACGCUGGCGGCGUGCCUAAUACAUGCAAGUCGAGCGAACAGACGAGGAGCUUGCUCCUCUGACGUUAGCGGCGGACGGGUGAGUAACACGUGGAUAACCUACCUAUCAGACUGGGAUAACUUCGGGAAACCGGAGCUAAUACCGGAUAAUAUAUUGCACCGCAUGGUUCAAUAGUGAAAGUCGGUUUUGCUGUCACUUAUAGAUGGAUCCGCGCCGCAUUAGCUAGUUGGUAAGGUAACGGCUUACCAAGGCUACGAUGCGUAGCCGACCUGAGAGGGUGAUCGGCCACACUGGAAGUGAGAAACGGUCCAGACUCCUGCGGGAGGCAGCAGUAGGGAAUCUUACGCAAUGGGCGAGAGCGUGACGGAGCAACGCCGCGUGAGUGAUGAAGGUGCUCUGAUCGUAAAACUAUGUUAUUAGGGGAGAACAAAUGUGUAAGUAACUAUGCACGUAUUGACGGUACCGAAUCAGAAAGCUACGGCUAACUCCGUG